rnacentral:rRNA from 1 species
UACGUAGGUGGCAAGCGUUGUCCGGAAUUAUUGGGCGUAAAGCGCGCGCAGGUGGUUUCUUAAGUCUGAUGUGAAAGCCCACGGCUCAACCGUGGAGGGUCAUUGGAAACUGGGGAACUUGAGUGCAGAAGAGAAAAGCGGAAUUCCACGUGUAGCGGUGAAAUGCGUAGAGAUCGGGCGGAACACCAGCGGCGAAGGCGGCAUCCUGGCCCUAUCCUGACGCUGAGGCGCGAGAGCGUGGGGAGCAAACC